rnacentral:rRNA from 1 species
GACGAACGCUAGCGGCGUGCCUAAUACAUGCAAGUAGAACGCUGAAGCUUGGUGCUUGCACCGAGCGGAUGAGUUGCGAACGGGUGAGUAACGCGUAGGUAACCUGCCUGGUAGCGGGGGAUAACUAUUGGAAACGAUAGCUAAUACCGCAUAAGAGUAGAUGUUGCAUGACAUUUGCUUAAAAGGUGCAAUUGCAUCACUACCAGAUGGACCUGCGUUGUAUUAGCUAGUUGGUGAGGUAACGGCUCACCAAGGCAACGAUACAUAGCCGACCUGAGAGGGUGAACGGCCACACUGGGACUGAGACACGGCCCAGACUCCUACGGGAGGCAGCAGUAGGGAAUCUUCGGCAAUGGACGGAAGUCUGACCGAGCAACGCCGCGUGAGUGAAGAAGGUUUUCGGAUCGUAAAGCUCUGUUGUAAGAGAAGAACGAGUGUGAGAGUGGAAAGUUCACACUGUGACGGUAUCUUACCAGAAAGGGACGGCUAACUACGUG